AAUGUUAAAUAUCGCUUUUUUCCGCUUCUUUUUUUACUUUAGCGCCUAAUUUUGGGGGCUUUUGCGCGUAAGAAAAGAAACGAAAAGUAGCGCCGGAGCCUCCAUUUUGGAGGCUUUUUUGUU
rfam:Proteus mirabilis strain HI4320, complete genome